CACUGUAUGCCCUAGUACGGCGAGUGACCGGGAAGAGCUCAAAUUUGAAAUCUGGCGUGCUCAGUGCGUCCGAGUUGUAAUCUAUAGAGUCGUUUUCCGUGCCGGACUGUGUCCAAGUCCCUUGGAACAGGGUAUCAAAGAGGGUGAUAAUCCCGUACUUGACACAAUGACCGGUGCUCUGUGAUACGUCUUCUACGAGUCGAGUUGUUUGGGAAUGCAGCUCAAAAUGGGUGGUGAGUUCCAUCUAAAGCUAAAUAUUGGCGAGAGACCGAUAGCGAACAAGUACCGUGAGGGAAAGAUGAAAAGCACUUUGGAAAGAGAGUUAAACAGUACGUGAAAUUGUUAAAAGGGAAACGAUUGAAGUCAGUCGUGACUGAGAGGCUCAGCCGGUUCUGCCGGUGUAUUCCCCUCAGUCGGGUCAACAUCAGUUUUGUUCGGUGGAUAAGGGCAGUUGGAAGGUGGCACCCUCGGGUGUGUUAUAGCCAGCUGUCGCAUACAUCGGAUGAGACUGAGGAAUGCAGCUCGCCUUUAUGGCCGGGGUUCGCCCACGUUCGAGCUUAGGAUGUUGACAUAAUGGCUUUAAACGACCCGUCUUAACCCCGGGGACAACA
rnacentral:rRNA from 1 species